GGAAUAUUGCACAAUGGGGGAAACCCUGAUGCAGCGACGCCGCGUGAAGGAAGAAGUAUUUCGGUAUGUAAACUUCUAUCAGCAGGGAAGAAAAUGACGGUACCUGACUAAGAAGCCCCGGCUAACUACGUGCCAGCAGCCGCGGUAAUACGUAGGGGGCACGCGUUAUCCGGAUUUACUGGGUGUAAAGGGAGCGUAGGCGGCGAUGCAAGUCAGAAGUGAAAGCCCGGGGCUCAACUCCGGGACUGCUUUUGAAACUGUGUUGCUAGAUUGCAGGAGAGGUAAGUGGAAUUCCUAGUGUAGCGGUGAAAUGCGUAGAUAUUAGGAGGAACACCAGUGGCGAAGGCGGCUUUCUGGACGAUGACUGACGUUGAGGCUCGAAAGCGUGGGGAGCAAACA
rnacentral:rRNA from 1 species